GCAGGACGGUGAACUGCUUGUGUGACAGUUAAGCACAAAGUUAAAACAUGACUGUUAAAAUCUAUAAUUUAUAAUGCUCUGUUGUAUAUUUGAAAGUCCCUAAAAGAGUCCUGAAAGUUCUCGUCACGAGA